rnacentral:lncRNA from 1 species
AGAAAUUUUACUCCCUUCUGAAUCAACUUCAUCAGGAGAUGGCAUCCAAGAAUUCCAUUGCUGUUGUGGUAUUUCUCCUCCUUACGCUCACCAUCUCUGCCAAAGCUACUAGUACGUAUCAUGCGACACAUCGAAGUGUUUCUAAUUGAAGAUUUUGCAUUGGCUUCCCAAGUUCUAUGCUUAACCUUGAAAGACUGAUGCUACCGUUGAUUUUAAAGUUUCACUUUUUAUUUGUUUGUAGGGUACUCAUUUCUACAAGAUGGGAUUGACUGCAUUUAUGUUGGACUAUGCAAAAACACGGUGACUUGCAAUGCAGAAUGCGAAACAAAAUUCCAUGUUCCUGGGACAUGCUCUUUUAACAAUGGUCAAAUUACUUGCUGCUGUCUUGGGGGACGACUUUGAAGGGAGCUUGGCAGGCCUGUUGGUUAAUGCAUACGUAGUCUUCAUAAGCUUCAUGUUUUCUAGUAUGCAUCUUUGAAAAAGGAAAUCAAUAAAACAAAGAAAUUCUCCA